AGUGGCAGACGGGUGAGUAACACGUGGGAACGUACCCUUUGGUUCGGGACAACUCUGGGAAACUGGAGCUAAUACCGGAUACGCCCUUUUGGGGAAAGGUUUACUGCCGAAGGAUCGGCCCGCGUCUGAUUAGCUAGUUGGUGGGGUAACGGCCUACCAAGGCGACGAUCAGUAGCUGGUCUGAGAGGAUGAUCAGCCACACUGGGACUGAGACACGGCCCAGACUCCUACGGGAGGCAGCAGUGGGGAAUAUUGGACAAUGGGCGUAAGCCUGAUCCAGCCAUGCCGCGUGAGUGAUGAAGGCCUUAGGGUUGUAAAGCUCUUUUAUCCGGGACGAUAAUGACGGUACCGGAGGAAUAAGCCCCGGCUAACUUCGUGCCAGCAGCCGCGGUAAUACGAAGGGGGCUAGCGUUGCUCGGAAUCACUGGGCGUAAAGGGCGCGUAGGCGGCGUUUUAAGUCGGGGGUGAAAGCCUGUGGCUCAACCACAGAAUGGCCUUCGAUACUGGGACGCUUGAGUCUGGUAGAGGUUGGUGGAACUGCGAGUGUAGAGGUGAAAUUCGUAGAUAUUCGCAAGAACACCGGUGGCGAAGGCGGCCAACUGGACCAGCACUGACGCUGAGGCGCGAAAGCGCGGGGAGCAAACAGGAUUAGAUACCCUGAUAGUCCACGCCUUAAACGAUGAUAACUAGCUGUCCGGG
rnacentral:rRNA from 1 species